GGAUCGUUGCCAGAGAGGCCUAAUGGAGCGGAAUACGGAUCCGCUGAAUCUUGACCGGGUUCCGUGGGUUCGAAUCCCACACGAUCCG
rnacentral:tRNA from 1 species